rnacentral:lncRNA from 1 species
AUGCAUCCAAUGCUGAGCGUCCGAGUCCAAUGCUUGAAGGAAACAAAACACAACGCAGGUUACAGUGGUGCCGUGAUCCCGGAUUCAACUGAUUGGUCGCUGACCAACAACCCUUACCGGAGUGCCUGUUACCAUUCCCACACUGGAGAUCAGCUGAGAACACUUGGGUUACUGGAGCUCAAGGCUUUCUGACUCCUGUUAGUGUGGGUCGGGGUAGAGGUGUGUUGGGGUUGCCUAUCCCUUUCCCUCAGCUUAGUGUGU